UUUCUUCUUUGUCUUCCUAGAUUUCAAACAUUUCCAUUUCAUUGAUUCUUUGCUUAUUCGGUGAGAAGAGAUGUUAGCUUCUUCUUUCUCCUUCUUUGUUUCAAGCAAAACCAUCUGAUGGCCUUGCGACUCUCGCUGAAGACAGUGUCAGGCGGGGGUUUGACCCUGCCGGUACGUCGUGAAAUCAUAAUGCAGGUGUCUUAAGGCUAGCACAGAGAAGACGGAAACCUCCCGUAGGGCAAAAUGGCAAAAGUUCGCUUGAUUACUACAUUAGUAAAUAACAAUUAUAGGCAAUAAUAAUGGAAAUUUAUAAUGGUUAAAACAAUAGUGUCA
rnacentral:ncRNA from 1 species